rnacentral:rRNA from 1 species
GGAGCAUGUGGCUUAAUUUGACUCAACGCGGGAAAUCUUACCGGGUCCGGACACACUGAGGAUUGACAGGUAACGUUAUACACACAUAUAUUUACUCUCUCGUAUUUUUACUGCUGUGUAUAUAUAAAAUAUGCUAGUCCUUUCAUGAUUAUGUGAUAGGUGGUGCAUGGCCGUUCUUAGUUCGUGGAGUGAUCUGUCUGCUUAAUUGCGUUUCACUAAGGAUCUAUAUUCAUAUUACGCAUAGCAUUUUGACCCCUUUAUGCUUCGGUAUAAAGCUGCGCGUCAAACCUUGCUAUCUGCGUAUAUUAGAUCCAGAAAGCAACGAACGUGACCGCAACCUCUUGUUGCCUUUAACUAGGUUUUGCUUACGUAUAGCUUCGGCUUUACGCUUUGCAUCUAAAAAGGCUGAUUUUCUAAACUAGAGGGACCGCUGUUACUUUCUUAAACCAGAGGAAGGUUGCGGCAAUAACAGGU